ensembl:misc_RNA
GGAGUGGGGGGCAAUUUGGUUGUGACAUCAUGAACCUCAUGGACCAUCAGUCUCAAUCUGGCUGAUCUGGCGGACAACAGAGAUGUUCCCAUUCCUCCCACACUGUUCCACAUGAAUCUCUCCUGAUGCUGUGCACUCAGUGGAAAAGAACUACAUUCCCCAAACAGAGGAGUACCUUCUCAAAAUCAUUAAGGGCCAUGAGUAUUGUGUCAUGGCUUAACCUCCAAAGAAGUUCUCAAGGAAUACCUAGUAUACUGUAGGAUCUCAUAAUCAUUAAGGAACAAGAUACCUAGUAUACUGUAGGCUAUUAGUCAGGAACAGUACUGAUAGCUCCUAUUUUA